rnacentral:tRNA from 1 species
UUAAAGGUAACAUCAGUGGUUGAAGGAGCUACCCUGGAAAGGUAGUAUGCGGGUAACUGUAUCGAGGGUUCGAAUCCCUUCCUCUCUG